rnacentral:tRNA from 1 species
GCUGGGUUCGUAUAACGGUUAGUACCCAAGAUUCUCAAUCUUGUAAUAGGAGUUCGAUUCUCCUACCCAGUA